GGUACCUGUUAGAAAUGCAGACUUUCAGGCCUCACCUCGAAUCUGCUGAAGCAGAAUCUCUGAUGGUAGGGUCCAGGAAUCUGCAUUUUAA
rnacentral:miRNA from 1 species